GUGAGAACGUGAAACACAUGGGAGUAUAUGCUGCGGAGUAUAACUGUUCAUGCUAUUUACUACAAAUAUUUUAUUAAAUAUUUAAACGUAACUUUACCUGUUUAUGUUUCUGUAUGUGCUAAAGUGUAACGCUGCUAUUUUACACUCAUCACUGUAUGCGUUUUAUUUUAAAAGGGCUGUCAAAGUUGGGUUCUCCUGUCCUCCAGUCCAGCUGGGGACGCUACUUGUGUGAUGAACCAUAUGGCACCUCACUAUCUUUGAACGCAUAUUAGCAGAUAUAUGGUCCAGCAAUUUCACUGUAUGUACAAGAUCUAACUUGACCUUAUAUUUUUGUCAAGGUGGCUGCAGUCCAGCAUGUCAGAAAUUACAUGCACUGUGUUCAGGUUUUCCUAUUAAAUCUUUGCUUAAUAAUACACAGAUACUACAUUAUGCCCAGUAACUUUGUGUAACAGUAUAUAAUGGCUAAAAAAUAAACAUGAUUCAGCAUCUAAGUCAGGCAUAUAAGUAAAACCACGCAAUUGAAUGUUUUAGUAACAAUUUAAAGAGCCAAUCCCCUUGACAAACUCUAGAUGGUCCUCUCAUAUGUAAAGGUCAUGCCCCGGUCAAAAGAGACCUCCAAAGAUGUCAGGAUGAGUGUUGUAAAUGCUCACCAGUCUGGAGAGGGUUAUAAAACCAUUGCCAAACGUUUCGGGAUUCAUCGGUCCACCGUAAGAAAAAUAGUCUACAAGUGGAAAAAAUUCAAGACAACAGAGACUCUACCUAGAUGUGGACGUCCGACAAAGUUAUCCCAGAGAGCACUAAGGAAGAUCAUCCAGGAUGUGCAAAAGAACCCCAAGACCACAUCCAAGGAUCUGCAGGCCUCACUUGCUGCAGCUGAUGUCUACGUUCAUGACUCGACUAUACGACGCAGGCUGAAUAGCAGAGACGUACACCAAAGGUUAUCCAACAGGAAACCUUCCCUCUCGAAGAAGAAUACUGACAUCAAGUUAGGAAAAACUUGCCAGCAUGACAUCAGCACAUGGGACAAGCAGGUAAAAGCUGGAGAAACCUUCCAAGAGUGUGGGCCGCUGGAGCAGCCCAUCAACGUGCAAAACACCUGUGAUGAAGACCAAGAGAAACUUGCAAAACCAGGUCCUGACUCAACAGCUUAGAAGCCACAGGUGGAGUUAUAUAACAAGAUAUGAAUUAAUGCCAUUGUGUAUCAGUGACUGAGGGAUGCAUUGUAUGACCCCUAAAGUUGCAAGUUGUCACAGUAAACACUGUGCUUAACUUUGUUCUAAGUGUGUUAUUAGUAAAUGAAUCAAUUUCAGAGAA